UUGAUAUAAUAAUUAGGAUUAAUUGCAUAUAAGUCUUUACAAAUUAAUGUAGAGAAUUGCAAAAGUAUUUCUACAAAAUUCAACAUUCAUAUGUUGUCUCUGCAAAAGUUCUGAUGUUUUCAAAUAUGUCUCUGCUGUUAGAAUCCGUUAGAAAAAUUUAGUUAACCAUAGGUUAAAUACUUAAAUUUGAUUAAUUAAUAAGUGUCUGCGACCACGAAUGACGUACCUCGCACGGUUAAUCAAAUUUUCUGUUUUUUGUGGGGUAGUAUUCAUGAUUCAGAUUAAUAUUUGAAUAUGUAUGGUUAUCAGGUAUUGUGGAUUCAUGGCUUCUAAUAAACGCAAGCGUUUAUUGUUAAUUACUCCUACAAAGUGUUGGGGCACCUUCGAUUAAAAGACCUCUGUAAUGCUGAAAUAGACUGAAAUUGAAUAAAAGGUGGAUUUUAUAACACAAUCCGUUGUAUAGUUACAUGGCUUAAUCAAGGGUAUACCCCCAGUGUACAUGAAUGUAACAUAAAAGAGAAAAUAAUUAGUUCAACGACGUGACGGUCGAUUGAACUGGGUUGCUCAAUUUAACGACAUGGCGGUCGAUUGGAAUUGAUUUGCUCAGUUUAACGACAUGGCGGUCGAUAAAAAUUGGAUUGCUCAGUUUAACGACAUGGCGGUCGAUUGUAAUUUGAUUUGCUCAGUUUAACGAUAUGGCGGUCGAUUGGGAUUUGGAUUUGCUCAGUUUAACGACAUGGCGGUCGAUUGGGAUUUGGAUUUGUUCAGUUUAACGACAUGGCAAUCGAUUGGGAUUUGAUUUGCUCAGUUUAAUGACAUGGUGGUCGAUUGGGUUUGAUUUGCUCAGUUUAACGACAUGGCGGUCGAUUGGGUUGAAAUUGGAUUGCUCAGUUUAACGACAUGGCGGUCGAUUGGAUUUGAUUUGCUCAGUUUAACGACAUGGCGGUCGAUUGGGUUUGAUUUGCUCAGUUUAACGACAUGGCGGUCGAUUGGAUUUGAUUUGCUUAGUUUAACGACAUGGCGGUCGAUUGGAUUUGAUUUGCUCAGUUUAACGACAUAGCGGUCGAUUAGAUUGGAAUUGGAUUGCUCAGUUUAACGACAUGGCGGUCGAUUGGAUUUGAUUUGCUCAGUUUAACGACAUGGCGAUCGAUUGGAUUUGAUUUGCUCAGUUUAACGACGUGGCGGUCGAUUGGGUUUGAUUUGCUCGACUUGGACUCACCUUCAGCUUAAAUUCUGAGUUUGGAGGACAUCAUGUAGGUGAAGGGCAAGUACACGAAAUGGACUUGACUUGGCAUACAUGAAUUUGAAGGUCUAAAUUCAAAAGUUUGAGUUUCAAGUUAAAAUUUUAGAUUUAAAUUUAAAAUUUAAGCUUGAGUUAGUUUUAUUUUGAAAUUGAAUUCUAAUUAAAGUUCUGAGUCUGAGGUUGAAUUUAAUUUUAAUUUUAAUUUUACCUUGAACUUACAUGGGAUUAAGUUUGGUUUGCAUUAAAAGUCUAUUUAAAUCUGCAUCUUAAAUUUGAGUUUAAAUUUAAAUUUUGGUUUGAUUUCAGUUUUAGAAAGAGAUUUGAAUUAUAAAAUUUAAUCUAAUAUUUAUGCUUUAGUCAGAUUUUAAAUUUGAUUAAAUUUUGAUUUGAAUUUUGAUAGUGGUUUAGUUUUAAAUUUGAAUUUGGAUUGCAAGAGUUUAGGAUAAGAUUUGAACAUUGAUUACAAAUUUUGAAUUUUGAAUUUUAGCUUUUCAUUUAGCUUUGCGUCUAGAUUUAAAUCUCAAUUUUAAGUUAUAUUGAAUUUAAUUUGAUUUUAUGAUUUUGGUUUAAUUUUGCCUAAAUUUUAAUUUUAGAUUGGAAGUUAGUUUAAAUUGAAUUUGAAUCCCUAAUUCA
rnacentral:lncRNA from 1 species